GGGCAUAUAGCUCAAUUGGUUAGAGCACCCGGCUUAUAUCCGGGCGGUUCCUGGUUCGAGUCCAGGUGUGCCCA
rnacentral:tRNA from 1 species